GAUGAACGCUAGCGGCAGGCUUAAUACAUGCAAGUCGAGGGGCAGCAGGUCUGUAGCAAUACAGAUGCUGGCGACCGGCAAACGGGUGCGUAACACGUACGCAACCUUCCCGUUACUGGGGAAUAGCCCAGGGAAACUUGGAUUAAUACCCCAUAUUAUAUUGGUUGGGCAUCCGACUGAUAUCAAAGUUUUAACGGUAACGGAUGGGCGUGCGGUUGAUUAGGUAGUUGGCGGGGUAACGGCCCACCAAGCCUACGAUCAAUAGCUGAUGUGAGAGCAUGAUCAGCCACACGCGCACUGAGACACGGGCCCGACUCCUACGGGAGGCAGCAGUAAGGAAUAUUGGGCAAUGGACGCAAGUCUGACCCAGCCAUGCCGCGUGAAGGAUGAAGGUCCUCUGGAUUGUAAACUUCUUUUAUCUGGGGCGAAAAUCGGGUAUUCUUAUCCGCUUGACAGUACCAGAGGAAUAAGCACCGGCUAACUCCGUGCCAGCCGCCGCAGUAAGAC
rnacentral:rRNA from 1 species